UAUAAGAAAAUGGCCGUACAAUGGAGUACGGAACAAUUUUUUGCGGAAUACAAAGAUUUACAGGCCAGUGCAAUGGGUGUGGAUUGUGUAGGACAAUGGGCUUUAUUAGCUGGAAGAAAAGCCUUGGCAUUGGUUAAUUUGAAUAACACAGAUAAUGUUAUAAAGGUAGCCAGGAAGAGUAAAUGGGAAAUCAGUUGUGUACAAUGGAAUCCUCAUGCUUCACAUGCCCCUAUAUUUGUUACUGCUUCUAAUCAAAGAUUAGAUGUAUACACAUGGAGGGAUGGCACAGCUGAACAUAAAUGUAAUUUAAAAGCUCACUCAAGGACUGUUAGUGAUGUGGAUUGGUCACCAUUUGAUGUAAAUAUUGUAGCAUCUUGUUCAGUAGAUACAUUUUCUUAUUUAUGGGACAUCAGAGAACCAAAGAAACCUAUAGCUUCUUUCCAGACAGUAGCUGGAGCUUACCAAGUAAAAUGGAAUAAAGUUACAAAUAACCAGUUUGCUACCACACAUGAAGGCGAUUUGAGAGUAUGGGAUCCAAGGAAAGGAAAUAUGCCAUUAACUUAUAUAGCUGCUCACUUAUCUAAAAUACAUGGGUUAGAUUGGAGUCCAUCUAGUCAGGAUCAUCUAGUCACAGCUAGUCAAGAUUGCAGUGUCAGGAUUUGGAAUUGGAAAAAUCAUCAGCGUUCAGAAGGAAUGAUCAGUUUAAAAGAUGUGCCAGUUUGGAGAGCAAGAUAUACACCGUUUGGUGAUGGUUUAGUGACUGGAGUAGUACCACAGUUAAGACGAGGAGAAAACAGUCUCUAUCUGUGGAGUUUAGAGAAUCAUAAUCAACCUGUCCAUGCCUUUAUGGGACAUAAAGAUGUAGUUUUAGACUUUCAAUGGCGUAAACAAUCUCCUGAUGAAGUUGAUUAUCAGCUUGUAACAUGGUCACGUGAUCAGAGUUUAAGAAUAUGGAGAAUAGAUUCAGCAUUACAGAAGUUAUGUGGACACCAUGUAGCUGAUAAUGACACAUCUACCCAGCAGACAUCUCUACUCACUAGUAGACUACCAGAAGAUUUAAGUAAAUCAACCACUAGUCUAUUAGAAGAACAAAUGGCAACAUCUUUUAAUACUAACCAGCAGCUACAGAGUUUAAUUAAUGAAUUCUCUUUAAUUAAUUCUAAUAUACCAAAUGUUACAAUUGAAGGGAUGGAUGCUGUGUAUAGAAAAUGUUUAGUAAAAGCUGUUAGUGGUAAAAGAUCUGUCAUCUUAAAUUUAACCUUUCCAGCCGGUUACCCCAAUGGAGAAGCUCCUGUAUUUCAAUUCAGUGAGACAUCUCUAGAUCCUAGUAUGGAAAAAAAGUUAUUAAAGGUAUUAAAAGACACAUCGUUGAAACAUGUACAAAGAAAUAUGGUUUGUUUAGAACCUUGUUUACGUAAUCUUAUAUCAUCAUUAGAUAGUUUGACGCUAGAAGAACGAAGAACACCAGAUACUGAAGUACCAUUUGACUUGACAUCACAAACUGCUGUUCAAGCCAAAUCUUUUAACUCUAAAAGGUUUCGUACAUCAUAUGGAAACUUCCAGGAUUCUAAUAUACCAUUUCCUAGAACUAGUGGGGCUAGCUUCUGUUCAGCAGGUUAUUUAGUUGUAUAUGGUAGGCCAGCUGAUCUGAAAAAGUCCAGUGCAGAUGUUACACCAAAAGCUUUAUCUGAUAUGGUUGUAUAUAAUCAAGUACACAGAAUGAAGGCUCCCCAGCCCCAGACACCCUAUGUAGCUAUGUUUUCUUGCAGUCCCCCUCCUGCUGCCCAGAUGAUGGAAUAUCCUUGUACAAUAUCUAACUUUUAUACAUAUAAAGAGAAGAGACAAAGAACAAGAAGUAGAAGUAAACACGUAAAAGAUAUACCUGAUAUACCUAGAAGAGAACCAAAUAAUGUUAAAUCUACUAAAUCUAAACCUAAAGUUGGUGUUGUACGAAUCUAUGAUGCCAGUAAUUUAUUACCUAUUCAUAGACAAUUAGCUGAAAAAUACAUUUUGGAUGUUAAUGAUGUAUCUAACAUGUGUUCGGCUAAUGCUAAUGCAGCAUCAGCAGUUGGUAGAAAAGAUUUAGUACAGUUAUGGUCUUUAGCAGCAGCCAUGCAUGUUAAAACAAAUAAUAGUCACAGCAGGGAAAUGUUUCUAGAAUCACCAUGGGCGUUAUGUUCUUUAGGACGGCCACUUCUGGAAAGCUUAUUAGAUCAUUAUUGUAAGAUACAAGAUAUACAGACUGUAGCUAUGUUAUGUUGUAUGUUCUGGACUCGUGAAACAAUAGCCAAACCAAAAAGAUCCAUUUCUAAAACUUCUAUGGAUUAUUCUCCAGCUAAUACUGAUGUGGGCAUUAACUACAUGUAUCUAGGAUCUAGUGCCGAUAGUGGAUGGAAUAUUUUACUAUAACCCUUAUCAUACUGUUAGUUCUGUAUCAAAUCUACUAAAAGGAAUAAAGACGAAGGGCACCAUGCACAUACCCAGCCUGGCCCAGGCCGCGACGGCACCAUUGUCCGCGGUCGCCUCUCACCCUAACCUUGCUGCACUCUUUAAACAAGCCAUGGUUAAAGGGAAGAGAUCUAAUAGUUGGUCAGAUUCCUAUGAUGAUUUCCGUAUAUUUGAAGAAGAAAUAGAACAAGGAGUCGACCAAGAACAGUUACAGUAUGAAAAAGAUAGCAAAAUGUUAAAUCCAGAUAAAGCAGGUUUAUAUGAUCAGUAUAAAAUAGCUUAUGCUAAUAUUCUGUAUAAGUGGGGUCUUAUUAACCAAUCAGCUUUAAUUAUGAAAUUCAUCUCUUUUCCUGUACAACCUGAGAGAACUUGUGAUUUCCUGAUUAAAUGUUCUAGCUGUAAUCAAACAACAGACACACCACAAUGCACCAAUAAUCAUAUAGCUUUAAAAUGUUCUAUAUGUAGAACUGGUGUUAGAGGUGCAUCUAAUUUCUGUCUGGCAUGUGGUCAUGGAGGUCACACUAAACAUAUAUUAGAUUGGUUUGAAAAAGAAACCGAAUGUCCAACUGGUUGUGGAUGUAAUUGUUUGAGUAAAAAUCCAAUGAUAUUUGGAUGGUAGCUAAUCUGUGAUUAAAUAAAAGUGUUGGUGAUUUGUUUAAGAAUAUUAAGUAUAAUAUCAAUAUUGACUAAAAAAGUUAAAUUUGUUAUCUGUGAUAAUAGAGAUUAAAAGUGCCAAGAUUAUGUUGAAGAAAGGGUUGUUUCAGAGUUUGCCUAAAGAAUGUUUUAUCUUUUCUUUUCCGAUAUCUUUUUGAGGUUGAGGAAGAGAUUUGUGUUAUCUUUAGAACCUAUAUUAUUAAUGAGUGAAUAUCAUACAUACAUUGUCAUAAACAUUCUGAGAAAAACUGAUCAAUGUACCCAAGAGAUUCUGCCACUUUCCAUAGAGAUGUGAAAGUUUACAACUUUGGAAGGUUAAAAGUAUUCUACCCUUUUAUAUCUAGGGUUAGCCAAGUUUUUAACAUGUGGUAAAACCAUGGUAAAUACCAGUAUAAACUAGGGAGUUUUUCCUACCUUUUCAUGGUGAAACAACAGAUUGAUGAAAAUAAGCUUCCAAAUCUCCCACUGAAGAAAUUGUUAUAUGCAAAAUAUAUCACAGGCUAAUGCAGAUAGGUUAAGACUUGCAAAAAAAAAAAAAAUUGCCACAAAUUUUUUGAAUAGACUUAAAAAAGACAAAAUGUUAUUAAAAUCCUAUUUAAUAGAAAUCCAAACCAAAAUACAAAAUUACACACAAUUCUUAAAAAAUUGUAUUAAAAUUACUUUGAAUUACAUUACCUCAUUGGUAGUCAAUUUUUGGUAAUGGCCCGAUGGCAAAGCUUAUGUUAUCAUGUAUUACAGUUACUGAAAUAGUUCAAUGGGAGCCAUUUUAAUCUACCAUAAAUUUCCAUAGGAUAUCUGUUUUUACUGUGUAUUACUUGCUGGAUACUGAAUAAUAUUAGUUACCAUCUGUAACUAAAGUUACAAUAUAUUUAAAUGUCAGUCCAGGUUGUUUGAAUGCCUGUGUUAUUGUUGAAUUGUUUAUUUGUUAUAUUAUGUUUGUCAUAUGUUACAUACCAAUAAAAUAUUUGUAAUAUUGUUUA